GACGAACGCUGGCGGCGUGCUUAACACAUGCAAGUCGAACGGAAAGGCCCUGCUUUUGUGGGGUGCUCGAGUGGCGAACGGGUGAGUAACACGUGAGUAACCUGCCCUUGACUUUGGGAUAACUUCAGGAAACUGGGGCUAAUACCGGAUAGGAGCUCCUGCUGCAUGGUGGGGGUUGGAAAGUUUCGGCGGUUGGGGAUGGACUCGCGGCUUAUCAGCUUGUUGGUGGGGUAGUGGCUGACCAAGGCUUUGACGGGUAGCCGGCCUGAGAGGGUGACCGGCGACAUUGGGACUGCGGUACGGACCAGAAGGCUACGGGCGGCAACAGUGGGGAAUAUUGCGCAGUGGGCGGAAGCCUGAUGCGGCGACGCCGCGUGCGGGAUGACGGCCUUCGGGUUGUAAACCGCUUUCGCCUGUGACGAAGCGUGAGUGACGGUAAUGGGUAAAGAAGCACCGGCUAACUACGUG
rnacentral:rRNA from 1 species